rnacentral:rRNA from 1 species
UACAGAGGUCUCAAGCGUUGUUCGGAUUCAUUGGGCGUAAAGGGUGCGUAGGCGGCGCGGUAAGUCGGGUGUGAAAUCUUGGAGCUUAACUCCGAAACUGCAUUCGAUACUGCCGUGCUUGAGGACUGGAGAGGAGACUGGAAUUUACGGUGUAGCGGUGAAAUGCGUAGAUAAUCGUAAGGAAGACCAGUGGCGAAGGGACGGGUCUCUGAACAGUUCCUGACGCUGAGGCACGAAGGUCAGGGGAGCAAACGGG